ACUCUUCCUGAAGAUAAACUUCUGUCAGCUCUUCCAGCACACCUCUUUCAGAAACCCCCCUUUGGAGACCACAACUCAGUUGGACCGUAUGUAAAGGGCUGCCCUUGACGAGGGAGAGGAAGUAAAUCACACAUUACAUGCAGAUUUCUAGGCCUUUCUUGAUAUACUUUGUGUAUGAAUCAUCAGAGCAUGACAGCUGCCUGACGGUGGCUGGAGACCGGCACCUAUUGAAGCUUGGUUUCCUCCUUCUGAAGUUGCUCAUUUGACAACUGCAGGCAGGAUUUUUUCUAGGCCUGCAAACAAUCAUGCUUUUGUAUGGUGGGGCUACAUUGGAAGAGUCCUUCUGAUGGAAAGUAUCAGGCAAGUUCCAGCUAAGGAUGCUCGUUUUCAUCACUUCUGGGAAAGAACAGUCUGGCUCCCGGCCUAAGGAGGAGUGGAAAAACUGUUCUUCCAGCAAGCACUGCGGCAUCGCGUCCUGAAAUCGUCCCAAACACAAUGAUGCCAGCAGUCAUCACUUCACAGGCUGCCAGCUUUAUAAAGACUCUGUUCCUCUGUCACACACAGAUGACAUUUUGUUGAAGAAUUGAGGUUUUGUUGCAACUUUCAAGUCUUAAUGUUCUAUUUUGUUCACCAUCCCCAGCCUGUCUUGCAAAUAACGUCCUUCACUGCCACGUCAGCAGUUGCUUUCCAGAAAGGCAGCUGUGGAAAAGCGGGAUGUGAGACGUGAAUGCAGCACUCUUCUGACCCAACCUAAGGCUAGAGUGUCUGUGCUGAACACAGAUGCCAUCAGGACUGGCUAGACCUCCCUGCGGCUGUACAGCUGGUAGAAGGUCAAGGAAGGCAGGAGAAGAGCAUCUUUUUGUUCAGAAUUAUCACAUCUCCACAGCCCUGCACUCCUCAGAGAUGCAGCCCUCCCGUACAGCCUAAGCAGCCCAUCUUUGUUGUUAGUUUACAUCAAAUAAAAAAAGAAAAGGACCUCGAGGGGGCUUGUAAUUCCCAUAGGCAUGAAAGGGAAGAAUUACCCUCAUUCAUCGUCAGGACGAGUUACAAAUGCCCAGUUCCUAAUCCGGCAGCAGGGAUGCGUACAGCUGCCUCCUGGCCUCACCGGCACAGCCUGGGAUACGGCUCUGGUAGGAAAGGAGCAAGAGGAAGCACUGGCAGCGUGAGGAGGCUAAUACAAAACAUGGUAUAGGAACACAGAGCUGCUUGGAAUACCGGUGUCAUUAACGCUGGUUUGUUCAAUGAUUAUCACACCCGAGACAAAGAGCUUCUCCCCUGUGGACAACGCAACAUCACCCCCACCAUGUAUCUUUCAGAGGCCUCCUCAAGGAAGUGCAUUUAGGAAGGGUUUUAACCAGGCUGUGCUCACAGUCAGGAAAGAAGUUCCAGGAAUAGCAGGUCUCCACACGGUGUGACAACCACAGCUUCAUUAAGAAGGCCGCUGAGCACCACCCACUUUGGCACCAUGAUACCUUUGGGAGGUGGAGAAGUUCUGGAGUACAUCCGAAAUACGGAGAAGCUGGGGGACUUACCCAAAGACACACCUGAAGUCUGGGCCAAGUCAGAGAUGUAAACAGGUUUUUCUAUGUCACUGGCUAACACUUGGAUGACAGAGGUCUGUAUUCCUUCUUUAAAAAAGGGAAGGAAAGAAACUGGAGCUGGCUACCAGUAACAAUAAACCUGACUUUUAGCAACGUAUUAUGGCCUAGCAAAAUACUGAUUUGGUACCCCUUAAUUUAUUAGCUGAGAAACAGGAUUAAUGGGACCUGUUAGACUACAUAGUCUACUAGCAAAGUGUUAAGACUUGCAUAAGAUAAUGCUCUCCUGUUUUCUUCAGCCUUUUAAUUGAGGCCCAAUAUUUGUCAACCCGAUUUUUUUGAGUUAGAAUUUGUUCCUGUACUUGU